rnacentral:rRNA from 1 species
UUGAGAACAACGUACAAACCUUAUCGAUAAACAAUUGGAGGGCAAGUCUGGUGCCAGCAGCCGCGGUAAUUCCAGCUCCAAUAGCGUAUAUUAACGUUGUUGCAGUUAAAAAGCUCGUAGUUGAAAUGAAGGGUAGUUGUGUAAUGAAUACAUUCGUGUAUUUUGUUAUUCUACUACCCUCCUUCUAAAUUCGAUAUAUGAGUAUUAAUUUACUUGUAUAUGGUUUUAGACGUUUACUGUGAGAAAAUUAGAGUGUUCAAAGCAGGCAUUUGCUUGAAUAUAUUAGCAUGGAAUAAUCAUGUAUGAUUUUCAUGAUGUAUUUGAUUGGUUUGGUUCAUGAGAAUAAGAUUAAAAGGGACAGUUGGGGGUAUUCAUAUUCAAUAGUCAGAGGUGAAAUUCUCGGAUUUAUGGAAGAUGAACAAGUGCGAAAGCAUUUACCAAGGAUGUUUUCAUUAAUCAAGAACGAAAGUUAGGGGAUCGAAGAGGAUUAGAUACCC